GGAUACCUGUCUAACGUGAACCUGAGAAUACAAGCAGUUUUAGAAAUAUCAGCAUAAAGCUGGUGAGUUCAUAAGCGGUUGGUUUCUGGUGAAAGAAAAUGUUCCUUUGAGUUUACGAAAAGUUGUUUCCCAAGAAAAUCUCAUAUUUUCUUAUAAAAGAAGUUUGGUUAUCCAUAUGUUAAACAACUUGUUUAUGAAAAGUUACGUUAUCCCAGGAAAAACCCUUAUUUUCCUUAAAAGUUGGUGGUUGGUUAUUGAUCCGGAAUGAAGUGUACAAGUAUCUACCAUACUUAUAUCGUUAAGUGAAGUUUCCCUGAAAGUUUAGUUAUCCUUGAAAAGUACAUUAGUUUUAACACGUAUAUCAAACUAAUCAGUAGGUUGUGAACAAAUACCUAAGGGUAUUACUAAUACCCUCUAGUAAUCAAAACAAUUAUUACUUUGAGGUUAGUUCACUAGGUUCUUUAUUACUUAAAAGUAAAUCUCCAUUAUCUAAGUUGCGAGUUCUAUGACCAUACAAUAAACUGGAUACGGCUCGUAACGGGGGCCAAUAUCAUUUUAUGACUUUGUCACUUGUAGACCUGUCGGUCCCACUGUAGCUAGCAGCAAGGUGCAGGAUAGUCAGUCCCGUAUAGAUCUAUACACACAAGUCACGUUCUCCCUCCAGGAGAUUCUGGUUACAGGGUUAGUCCUACACUCUCGAUUCCGGGGAAGUGUUACCAAGGACAUUCUCCAAUCUUAAGAAUAACGAAUUUCCAAGUAAUAAUAUGGAAAGUCCCGUUUUAUGAUUGGCAUAAAUCCUUUGUAAAAUAUAAAAUAUAACAUUUUAUAAUGAGUUUCACAAAUUUCCUUGUUUUAGUUUGAAAACUAACUCUACAAGUUAAUCUCUAAAUCAGUUGGUAAAAACGGUUUUCUGUGUUAAAAGCAUACAGAACAUAUAAGUAUUUCAUACGAAAUAAUAGGUUUUGUGUACAAGUUCCCUUGUACUUUUGCUUGUAUUCCCCCCUGAAAACAUGAAAAACUCGGAAAAAGGUAGGGGUAUGAACUCACCAGACAAGGAUGUGCUGGGUAGGACGCUAGGUGUCAAUUUAGGACUUGAACGCAUGCGAGGGUCCUAUGUAAAAUGAAGUGUUACAUAAUUGUAUCUAAUUAGACAUUGAACCACUAAUUAAGUGAGAUAAUACACUCUGAUGUGUGAGAACACCUUAUUUCAAGUGUUAGGAAUGAUACGGGUUGCAUCUAAGGAGUUUAUGGCCUCGAUAAGGAGUUUACUCUUCAAGAGUAAGCCCUUAGGGGUGUUUACGGCCCAAAGACCAUAUCCCCCAUGAGCUUAUGACCGUAAACUUAUGGGUGGGGUGUUUUUGGGUGUUCAAAGGUCUCAUAUUGCAUAAGGGAAGGUUCUAGGGUUGAUUCAAGGGUUAUGGAAGUGAUCGGGACUUGAAAUGACCUUGGAAAUGGGGUUUACGGUUCUUGAAGGACCCUUGGUGAGUUUACUGCUGUAAACACAUGAUUGUACGACCGUAAACUCAUGCUUGGCCCAUUCUUGCAUGAUUUGGUACUUCAAAUGAAGGGGUACAGGGUUCUAGACAUUAAUCCAAGCCAUAAGAGGUGUUUAAGGGCUAUUUAACACCAUGAAAAGGUGUUUACGGUCCAUGAAUGUUCAUGGGCCUUAAAAUCAUGUUUACCCCCUUAAAGACAUGUUUUUGGGGUUCUAAGCUCACUCAUGCAAGUCCCUAAGUCAUAGCUAAGCAUUAGACGCGGUUUGGAAGGGUUUUGGGGCUUCAAAACCCCCUUAUGGGAGUUUACGGUUUUUGAGGGUGUUCCUCAACCGUAAACUCAUGGUUUUGAGGCUUUUGGACGAUUUAAUCACGAAUUUGCAUGGAUACUAAGCUAAACAACAAGCUAGGAAGGAUUACUUACGAUUUUGGAGCUUGAAUAGGGUAUUUUUCGAUCAAAACCUGAGUUGUAGAGAGAGAGAGAGAGAGUAGAGAGAGAGCUACAAGGGUGGGAAAAGCUCAAAUGGUGACUACUCAAUCCCUUAUAUAGGUUUUUAGUUUGUGGCCAGGUGGGGGUCCACCCAAUACCGACGUUAAACGGGGUCUAUGAUCGUACCCGAUUAAAUGGUCGUAACCCGACUUGGUCGUAACUAAAACUUUUCAAAGGAUAUCGAGGGUGUUUCACGUGUUUGUAUUUCGUUUCAACAAUUAUGAAAUUAUAAUACAAGUCUCAAUUAAUUUGUCUAACCCAAAAUGUUAACGGAAGAAUUCAAUAAAAAAUAAAUUUUAUUAACGGAAAUGGGUUACAGUGACAGAAUAAAUUUCGGGUUGUCACAUUGGUGAAGGAUCCAAUAUAGCACCCUCUAAUGGAAUCAAACCCACCACACCAAAAGCAAAAUGAUGAAAGUCAAACUAGGGUUUAUGCGAAAUUCUCCAACUCUUAAGAGAGAGAUUGAGAAUUUUAUUAUGGAGAGAGGGAGAGAGAAGGCAGAGUAUGGAUGAUUUUAGUAAGGGGAUAAAUUAGCUCCAAGGUUUACCCCUAGCAGUUUAUUUAUAGGCAGUAGAUAGAAUCCUAAAAGGAUUCAAACUUUAGAGUUAAUCCUUAGCUGUUUCAAACCUACAUUAUCCCUAUCUAGGGAUCUAUCAAAACUGUCUCAUAUAGGCUUUCCAGGAGCUUCUAAAGUAUUCCAAUUAAUCUCUAUGGUUAAUUAAUAUUCAAGCCCUUUAAUUAAUUAAAACCUUUUAAUUAAUUACCAAAAUAAUUUCCAAUUAAUUUUUUAUUUCCUUAAUUAAUUAACAACUUAUUUAUCUCCAUUUCCUCAUGUUAUUUGGCUCAUGAGGCCAACCCAAAACAAUUAAUAAUCUUGGAUACUAUUUUCUAUAGUCUCCCACUUGGAUAAGUCAUUAACUUUGAGGAUCAAAAUAGUUCACUAACAAACAACAAAGAGUAGUUAUCCAAUGCAACUGCCAGACUCUGAUUAGAAUCAAAAUUCGUUCCUUAUACAAGUGAUCAACUUAUUCCUUUGUUCUAUAUAUCUUUAUGAACAUGAGCCAUAGAUAUGGGUCAAUCUUAGUGUUUAACAUUCUGUUUCCGAUUAAUGAUUUCUGUCAUUACAUCUGACUACUAAAUAAAACACAUCAAUUUAGUUGGAGCUCAGCCAAGCACUUUAAUUGUCAACACCAAAUCAUCGAGGGGCCCAUAGAUAUUGCUUCCCAGUUACGAGAAGGAACAAAUAUGUCACACCCCCUGCCGACGACGGAAGCGUCGGGGAAGCAACAAAAUCGUUGGAUCAUGGUUAACAUACAUACAAUGAAUAGUGAAAAGACUUAAAUAAUAUUACAUAAUUCUCUUAAUCUGGUACGAAGAUUUCAUUGUUCAAAUAUUCGACCUUUUGAUAGUACAAAACAAGUUCAGCUAGAUGUAAAUCGAAAUGAAACAAAAGGGCCUAUCAGAUUGGCCAACCAUCAAAGCAAGACAAUAGGUUUCCAUGUUAUGCAACACGUGUAUUCCAGUUUUUAAGUCUACGAAGAUACAUACAUUUAAAAUAUGUCAACAAAAAUUGUUGAUGAGUUCCACAUGUUUUGACUCUAUGUACUUUUAUGACCAAAGUGUAGUUUACACAAAUGUAUUUGAAUAUCAAGUCAUAUAAAAUAUAAAGUACUCUUUCAAAGAAAAAGUAUAAAAAAUUUAAAUUCUUACACACUUGUAAUCACAUACAAGUAGAACAUUUGUUUAUGUAAAUAACCUAAUAAAUAUAAGUUUAUAAACAACAAAAAUCGUGUCAUAAGGUUAUUUAAGUAUUAUUUUAAAUAAGACAUUAACUGACACUUAUCCGUUUGAGCAAAACAUUCAUACUUCAUACAGUCUUACUUCAACUCAUAUGAGUAUCCAAGUUAUGUAUAAAUACUAUUUCAAUUUUAUACGUGUGUUUUAAAGUAAACUUUGGGUCUAUAACGAGCCUAUAAUCGAACUAUGGACACACAAAUCUUUGAAAAACAAUGCAAAGGAGGCGUGCUGAAAACAUCACCGAUGUUUCAUCAACAUCGUGAAAUAAUAAGAGACUGAAUAUGUAUGCAUGUUCCGGCUCGUUAGUCGUAGGUUGUAGCUAGCAACCGCACGUAGGAUAAUCAACAUGUAUAGAUAUAUACAAAAAAAAAAUUGUUCCUUACGGAUUAACGGUUAUAAAACAGAUGGUUUUACUAAGUUUUGUGUUUUUAGUUGAUGAAGAGUACACCUUAUAUAAGGAUUCUCGUGUUCAACCAAUCUAACAGUGUGUGUGCAUGCAUUUCAGUCGUAAACUAAUCUCGUGUUCAACUAAUCUAAUAGUGUGUGUGCAUGCAUUUCAGUCGUAAACUAAUCUCGUGUUCAACUAAUCUAAUAGUGUGUGCAUGUAUUUCAGCCGUAAACUUUGGUUAAAAGUUUAUUAGACUAUUAUUCUUUCAAAUCAUUCCAAAAAUUGUAAUCCAAGUCAUAAAAAUUAAGUUAUAAAGUUUACUAGACUUGCUAAUUAUAAUUAUAUACAAUUUUCCUGACAAAUCGAGCAGCAUAAUGACUGCAUUUUGAUCAAGAUUUCAACCAAUGUGAAAUUAACCAAAAGAGGGAUAUUAAACAUAUACACAUAAAGCAAAUAUUAUACCAUUAGUACAUGUAAAAUUUCUCUUUACGAUGCUUUGUUCCAACCCAACAUAUAACCAAUUUUCUUUGACGUAUAGUUUAUGUAGUUAGUCUAAUUCAUAUUUUUAUUAUAAUUGUGACUUAAUAUAUAAUAUAAACUAGUAAAGAGGCCUAUGCUCUGCAUGGGUUGGAAGACUUAUUUACAAAAAUACAAAAGCCAUUGUACUUUGUUUUUUGUUUUUUGUUUUUUUUUGGUUUCACUACCCAAAUUUUUUUUUUUUUUUGGUUUAAUCAAUGAGAGUUUGUUUAUCUACAAAAACAACACUAAAUAAACCUUUGAAUCUUAUAAAAACCGCACACAAAGAAAAAGAAAAAUACCAACAUAAAAUAUAUUUUUUGGAGUUUAAUAGCUAAGGAAUCAAAAAUGUAAAGACCUAUCUUUACCUUUUCAUUAUUUUGGCAGUUGCAAUAAACCGCACACAAAGAUAAACAUUAGCCAUACAAGUUCUAACCUAUCAGAUCAAAAUUGGAAAAUUGCACUCCAUUUUAAAACUAACUCGUACCCAUGUGUUAGGUAAAUGACAUCAAUUUCUUUAUAAUUUCUUGUAUUUCCCAAAAUACCCUUUUCAACGUAGAAUUUAAGAUCAUCAAGAAUAAAAUUUAGAAUCGUUUGCCAGCAUAUAUACCAUUAUAUGAGAAAGUGACAGCAGUUUACUCAAUCAAAUAUAAACAUACAUACAUUAGAGUAUGUAUCCAUCUAGGAAAAGGUAAAAAGAAGGAAAUUAAAUAAACCCAAAACUUAAUAAUUAUGCAAUACCUGGUGGUUACUUAUGCCAUAAUUACACUUCUCAAGUGGCCACCAAUCCAUAGUAGCACAAAUAAAGUCGCUGUCAAUCUUUGCAAUUGAACUUUUCCCAUUAAUGACAAGAAUACCCUCAACAACAUCAGUUACAGCUUCAGUUUGCGAAUCCACAAGAUUGCAACUGAAACUGAUCAAAAGAACCUUUAGGUUUAAAGCCACAUUCAGGUAAACCAAAUUUGUGAUUAGCCCAUUUUUAGUCACUGUUUUUUUUUUUUUUCAAUUACUUAGGACCUUUAGGCGCUUAAGUGGCAUACAACUGUCAAGAUGGCGUCUAUGUGGCUAAGGUGGUUCAUGUCAAAAUAUAUUGCAUUCUCUGUUUUACUUUAAUAAAAAAAGUAUAGGGUUAAUGCCACGUAGUAGCAUCAUAUUGUCACUUUUGUACUUGUUUUUUUUUUUUAUUUAUUUAUUAAACUUCAUUUUUAGUGCAUUUAUAACCAUUUAGAGGAAAAUGAAGGGGGCAACCGGUUGUGGAAUUUGCCCAUCACUUUGAGUAAUUUUUAAAACAUUAAUUUUUGCGAUAUAUUAAUUAGAACGAAAUAGGUACACCUUUAGCCGAAUGGAUUUAUAGUUCCAUAACAGUAAUUAUACCUUAAUUGUAUUUAUGAAUGAUCUCACAACUAACUAUUUCUAGGAAAUCCCUUAUAGCAGUCUAACGUUUUUAGGGAUAAUGAAAGCCUGAUGUCGGGCUUAACCAAAUUGGGUCCAAACAGAGUUUGGUCGAAACCAUAUAGCUGAGCAUAUAUUGACAAUUGAACUCUUUAAAUAUUAAAGUAGAACCACAAAAAAAAACUGUCAAAAUUUUGAAAGGUUCUUGUUUCCCUCACUGAGGCAUUUCAUCGAAUAGGUUAAGUGCAAGUUUGAACAAUAUAAUAAACUUGUGGAAAACAUACCGUUAGUAAGUAUGAGGCUUCCUUCACCUCCAUUUGGUUCACCUUCCCCACCACCAAAACAUAUUCACAUAUCAAAACCUGGAAAUAGAGAGAUGUGUGAAGUUAAAAUGCAUAAAUAUUUAAUUAAACAAUAAUACAUAUGCCGAAAAUGGCAAGAAAUGUAUCAGUAUAUCUUGCUGUCAAACUUACUAUGGUAUUUGGUGGUGUAACCUGGUUAGAAAAUGAGUGUGAGGAAUUUUUCAGCAAAACGAAGGUCGUGAAGACCGGCAGAAGGGCGUUUGGAGCUUCGACGGUUCCACGGUGGUGACCGAUUCUGGAGCUUGAGAAUGAGAUGAAUAUGCUCCAGUUCCGACUGGGUGGGCAUAAUAUCAGUAAGAAGGAAGGCGUGGAUGUGGAGAAGGAGGGUCGGUAAAUUGAAUGAGAUGGGUGGACAUCAGAAGUAGAUAAUGCGGUGGGUGGACAUCUAUCGGAAGAUGAAGUAGCGGUGACUCUAAAUCCAAAAUGGAUCCAACCGGACACGUUCCAUAAAGGUGGGAGAGUGGUGGAGGAUGGAGAUGAAGUCGGUGGUAGAUAUCUGUAAGUUUUUUAUUGUACAAAAAAAAAAAAGGUGGAAUCAAGAGAGACAGA
rnacentral:lncRNA from 1 species